GACGAACGCUGGCGGCGUGCCUAAUACAUGCAAGUAGAACGCUGAAGGAGGAGCUUGCUUCUCUGGAUGAGUUGCGAACGGGUGAGUAACGCGUAGGUAACCUGCCUGGUAGCGGGGGAUAACUAUUGGAAACGAUAGCUAAUACCGCAUAAGAGUAGAUGUUGCAUGACAUUUACUUAAAAGGUGCAAUUGCAUCACUACCAGAUGGACCUGCGUUGUAUUAGCUAGUUGGUGAGGUAACGGCUCACCAAGGCAACGAUACAUAGCCGACCUGAGAGGGUGAUCGGCCAAACUGGGACUGAGACACGGCCCAGACUCCUACGGGAGGCAGCAGUAGGGAAUCUUCGGCAAUGGACGGAAGUCUGACCGAGCAACGCCGCGUGAGCGAAGAAGGUUUUCGGAUCGUAAGGCUCUGUUGUAAGAGAAGAACGAGUGUGAGAGUGGAAAGUUCACACUGUGACGGUAUCUUACCAGAAAGGGACGGCUAACUACGUG
rnacentral:rRNA from 1 species